rnacentral:rRNA from 1 species
UACGUAGGGGGGCAAGCGUUGUCCGGAUUUAUUGGGCGUAAAGAGCGUGUAGGCGGCUUUACAGGUCCGUUGUGAAAACCUGAGGCUCAACCUCGAGACGCCGGUGGAAACCGUAAAGCUAGAGUCCGGAAGAGGAGAGUGGAAUUCCUGGUGUAGCGGUGAAAUGCGCAGAUAUCAGGAGGAACACCCGUGGCGAAAGCGGCUCUCUGGGACGGUACUGACGCUGAGGAGCGAAAGCGUGGGGAGCGAACAGG